rfam:Lasius niger Lnig_2.1_19444, whole genome shotgun sequence.
CAAACGGCCCUUUUUAGGGCCCCCAAAAGAUCUGACGUGAGCAUCU